rnacentral:tRNA from 1 species
AGUAUGGUGGCCAAGUGGUAAGGCGUCAAUCUCGUAAACCGAAGAUCAUGGGUUCAAAUCCCGUCCGUUCCU